rnacentral:lncRNA from 1 species
AUAAUAUUUUGAUGCACCGGGAUGAUUGCUGAAUCAUCAUGAAUCAUUAUUGACUUGUAGUAGACAUUAUUUGCAAACUUAUUUAUUACACACACACACACACACAAAUGAGACGCACAUAAAAAUGAUUUGUCGCCGAUGGAAGACAACUUCCUCCUUAAUAUCGAUAUCUUAAUAGGCUUGGUUAAUUAAAAUAUUUGUGUCGUCUGCUUUCACACUUCACAGUUUCUUUGUUUCACAGUUUCGAAAAAGCAAAAAGAGACGAAGUUUCAGAUAUUUUUUAUUUUACAAAACUGAACAGAUCACUGGAUUGGAAACGUGUACGUGGCUGCAAGAGAAAUAGCAGAAUAACAAAAUAAAAGGUGGUCGUGUGAACUUUGGUGUCUUGAUUCCCCAUGCUCUCCACUCCAUGGUCUUUCUCAGACAAACAGCUCCUAGUUUAAUUGGAAAAAAAACUCUGUUCUCGUGUACACCCAUGUGAAAGUGAGUGGAUAUUCACGAUGGCCCCCCUUUUCCUAUCCUGACUGGCGUCAACUUUACUGGGGAUGGAGCACUUGUGAUGCCUGGCUGUGGAUUUCCCGGGUUUAAAGGGUGGUAUAGUUGUUGUUGGGUUGUUGUUCAUAUGAAAAGAAGCAAAUCCAUUGCAGUGACGUUUCGGCAACGCCCUCGAGCAUUCAUCGGAUGACGACAAAUCGUCGCUAUCCCGUCUAAUAUACCUUGGGCUCGUAAUCUCCUGUCGCUCGGCAGCCAUAGGGCGUAAUUGCUAAUUCCCCGGGACAGCCACGUCGCAUUCGAAAAACAGAGUGAUCUUUUAUUUCUUUUAUAGUUUUGACUUUUCUUGUUUCUUGAUUGGUCGCUCGCUUUAUUGCACUCUCUCUCUCUCUCUAUCUUCAUUCGGCAACGACACACACACACACACACAGACAGACAUGUGUUGUAUAGCAUGGAAAACUUAUAUGGACGAUAUUACUGCUUGUUUGUCUUGGCUCACGAAUCGACGACGUCACGCAAUUAUCGACUAUCUUUCGCCCAUUCGUCGUCGUGUGUGUUGUUAGACUUUUUGCGCUGGAUCGGCUCUUUUUUCUCUUUUUCCUGCAUUUUCGCUCUCUCUCUCUCUCUUUCUCUCUCCGUUCCAUCCAUAGAGCUAUAUUUAUACUUGACCGGGGCAUGCCGAGACCUUCGGAUAUAUAUACAGAUAGAUGUGUGUACAGACCCGAGUCCCGCGUACAUCACACGUUCAUUCCUCUGUUUCAUCUGUGUAUGUUAUGUGGACUACACAACAACAAUCAAAAAGAGAUGAAAGAUGCCAUUGCGCUAUAUCGAGAACACACAGCCAGAUCCAUUUUUAUUUUUCGCCCGGAAUGAGAAUUCAAUCUUCUGCUGCCUCCAUUCAUUUGCUGUUUUUUCUCUUAAAAAUAUGUGUGCGACUCCAUUUCUGGUUUUCAUUUUUUAUUUUCUGCAAGUUUUUUUUUGUUGUUGUUUUGUUUCGCCGUAUUAUCUCACCCGGACACAUUCCGUCAUGGUGUGUAACAUCUCACCGUCCGCACCUCUGAAACAUAACGUGAGGGUUGGGAGGGUGGUGGUGGGGGGGGGGCUGUCGUCUUGAAUAUCCGCAUGGCUGAGACUGAAUGGCGUGAUUCGGCUGUCGGAAUUUCGCACCAGCACUCUUUGAGAUGAGCGCAAAGUAUAUAUGGGCCAGCAUUUUCAACUGGGGUUUAUUUUUAGACCAAAGUUUGUCCUCUUUUGAUGACAAGAGACUCUGUGCUCUACUCUACUAGCAGAAGAGCUUUUAAAAAAAAAAACCCAAAACAGGAAACUGAUGACCGGUGCUCGCUCUCGUUCGUACCUC